rnacentral:misc_RNA from 1 species
GCCCCUUCACUGUCGAUUGGAUCACAGGCGCUUGAAGCUCUAUCAAUAGAUAUAUGCAUUACCAUAUCCCACCCAUCUAAUAUACUAUGAAAGAGAUCUACAUUUAACCUGCACAUAUAUUUCGUUGAUAGAGCUUCAAGCACCUGUGAUUGGAUCAGGCAAACGCUGUCAAUGGCGGCGUCCACUGCAAAGUGUAAACUCAAUCAAUAUUCUUGAUUUUUUGAUUAAAGAGUUAAAAUUUUAGAAUAAUAAUAUGGAUCAUUGCUAUUCCAAGGAAAAAGAGCUACAAAAUGAGAGAAUUCCAUCAGUAUUUGGCACAGAUCAUAGCUACAACAAAAUAUGUGACAAUACUUGUAGAACUCCAACAAAUAAUCGUAAGAGAGAAAGAAGUACACCGACUGGGAAAACUCCCCAACAGCCUUCAAAAAUUGGAACUGCAGUUUUAUCUGGUCAGAAACGCAAUACUCAUUGGACAGAACCGGAGAAGGACUAUUUCAUUCAAUAUGUCAAACACACACCACUAAAUGAAACGCUUACAGAUUACUGGCAGAAAUGUGCUUCUACCAUGAAUGCCAGAUUUCCAGCCGGGAAGCGUAAUGGGCUUGCAUGCAAGGGAUUGUCGCAGAGGUUAUUUAUAACCCCAUUAAGAGGUCAUACAGAAUCUUCCUUAGAUGAAAAAGACAUUGCAUCUGGAUUUAGUAUGUUGUCAACCCAGGAUGUAAUGACACGGGAUGUAGGGACACAGACUGCCUUGUCACUUCCAGUCAACACUAAUACUAGUAAUAGUUUCGAUGUUAAAGACGGUGAAUGGUUGUUUAUGGAACCAAGAAAAGAACUUGAGCCAGUUGCCAGUGUUGGUGCAGAAUACCUGCAUAUAACAGCUUUAAAGCGAUUAAGGCAUUAUCUUGUUAUAUCUGACGGAGAAAAAGCAAGCCUGAUUGAUGUGCUUUGCUCUGGUACUCCACGGCAAUUUGCAAGAGCUCUGAUGUCAUCAUCACUAGCAUAAGAAAUAAAGGCUCUCCUGAUUUUUGACAUAGAAAUGGACGCACGGGAAUGUUGCUCAAAAAGUAGUAUCCUGAGUCAUAAGCAGUUCAAAGAUCUGAAAGAGUUCAAAUGGUCAGAUAUUUUAAAUGAGCUUGUAACAAGACAAGCCACAUUGGCUGAAGUGCUGUUAGCAGUGGCUUUGCCUACUGGCAAAAUUGGCUGUAGAAACCCUACAGAAGCCCUCUGUCCAGUGGUAGCAACUGUCUAUGGAAUGCUAAUGAAGCAGCGGUCUGGUCAGUUGAGUGCAGUUCAGAAGUUUAUUACAGGCCAGCCUUGCAAAUGAGCAGACACAUCAAAAGUUUGUUACAAGUUUCCAGUUAAAGAUUUGGAUCCUAAUUACCUUUCAUCACCUGUCACACAGUUUACAAUCCUUUUGGUUAAAAUCUCAAUGGCACAUGUGUGGUACUGUUUCCAUGUGCCAUAAGAUAUUUCCAUUUA